UAUAUAUUUUAUAGGGAGAAAACCAGAAAUAACCCCUAUAAAUAUGUUGCAAAUUUUGUUUUUGCCCAAACUUUAUAAUCCUGGCUCCACAAGCAAAAGGGUGCGAUAUCAAGAGUGCUUUCGAACAUCAGGGUUGGUUGUCUUAUUUUGAAAUGUUCAAUGAUCAUGCGUAUACAAAUCUAGUAUACUUCUGGGUAAUGACUGAAGUUGUUGAUUUUUAUGAAGCCGGUAGGGAAUUAAAGCUCAAGUAGAAAGAGUCUAAAGCUAACAAAGGGAAAAGUCAUCAGGAGCUGGAUUUGAAAGAGUUUUAUAGACUAAUUUCUAAAAUGUCUUUUCAAAGUAUUCUUUUAAAGGAUAAAAUAUCUACAUGAUGAUUCCAUUGAAUGCAUGUGUGAAGUAAUAAAACAGAAUGCAUGUCACUACAAGAAACAUUGAAGUUAGCUAGGAAUUAUACCGAGGAAUUAAGUUUCCUCGCUAGCGACAUUGCAUACCGAGGAAAAUUUCCUAGGUAAGCUUCUUUGACCGUUUGACCACUUUAAAGCUUUCAGCAUGUGUGUUAGCGAGGAAAUAGAGGUGUUACCGAGGAAAUAUUUCCUAGGUAAACACAUGGUACAAAAUGCAACAGCUUUUUGCAGGUAAAGGUAACAUGGCAGCUGUAUUUUCACGUUGGAGAGUGAAAAAGCCCAGCAGAUGCAAUUGAUAUUAGCAGGUGAACGUUGAAAUGCAUUGUUGGGUUAUUUAAUUGGCUUUAUGUGUGUGUGUGUGUGUGUGUGUGUGUGUGUGUGUGUGUGUGUGUGUGUGUGUGUGUGUAUAUAUAUAUAUGUCUUUGAACACUUCUCUAUUACAUUUUCCAUUCCAUAUUUUUGACACUUCUCACUACAAUUUUAUUUUCCAUCUCUACUAUUCAACAAUUGCUCUUGCAUGUGUUUUUUCUUCAUAUAAGGUAACUAUUUUCUUAAUUGAUUUCAACUUUUAUAUUUAUAAAUAAAAUGUUAAUGUAAUAUAUGUUAUAUUAUUUUUUGCAGUUAAUAUUUAGUUCCAUUUCCUAUUACAAGUUGUUGUUGCUGCUGGCUACUACUUUUUCGAUCUGCAUUGUCAUCAAAUUAUAUUAUUUGAGAAGAUGGAUCAGUAUAUUCUUCAUCGAAGUUGGAUGUACGAUAGAAAAAGACCGGGAAAAAGGACACUUAAAGCUCAAUUUAAGGAAGGAAUUCGUGAAUUUGUUGCUUUCGCCAUGUCGCAAGAUAUUUUUAGAAGUGAGGGAGGGAUUAGAUGUCCGUGUCUUAAAUGCACGUGUAGGUUGAUUCAGAGCCCAAAAGAUGUCAUAUAACAUUUAGAGGAUGUUGGUUUUAUGGAGGAUUAUUAUCUGUGGAGACAUCAUGGUGAACAAGAGCCGGAUGAGUUUGAUGUUAAUAUGCAGGCUUCAAGCAGUGGAGCACAUACAUAGUGUGAAAACUUUGGCCUCAUGGAAGAUAUGGUCGGUGACGCUCUCGGGGUGAAUUUGUCUUACAAUGAGGGCAUUGAAGAGGAAAUAAUCCCGAAUGAGAAGACGUUGAAGUUUUACUCAAUUAUAAAAAAAGUAAAUGAACCGUUGUUUGAAGGGUCGUCUCAGUCGAAGUUAUCCAUGUGUGUGAGGCUUUUAGCUGGAAAGUCAAAUUGAAAUGUACCCGAAGAAUGUGCGGAGUACUACACAAAAAUGAUGAGGGAUUCGACUCCUGUACCAGAAAAUUUACCAUUAAGUUAUUAUGAAGCUAAGCAAUUGGUGAUGAAGUUGGGAUUGGAAGAAAAAAAGAUUGAUUGUUGUGUUAACGGGUGCAUGUUGUUUUACGACAAUGAAUUUGGUAAGACUGAUGGCUCGUUGGAGGAGUGUAAAUUUCGCAAUUCACCAAGGUAUGGAGUGAGUGGCGAUGAUGUUGAUCGUAAGAAGAAACGAGUCGCAAUCAAGUCAAUGUUUUACCUGCCAAUAAUACCAAGACUGAAGAGAUUGUUUGCAUCAAUGCACACGGCUGGUCAUAUGACGUGGCAUUAUUACAAUAAAACUGAUUCAGAGGUGAUGUGACAUCCUUGUGACGGAGUGGCGUGGUAGCACUUUGAUAAGGUACAUCCUGAUUUUGCAAACGAUCCACGUAAUGUGAGACUUGGAUUAUGCUCUGAUGGAUUUACUGCGUAUAACACAGCGUCGGUUAGGCCUUAUUCUUGUUGGCCAAUAAUUGUUACCCCAUAUAAUCUUCCUUCUGAAAUGUGCAUGACAAAACCUUACAUGUUCUUGAGUUGUAUUGUACCAGGACCGUCGAACCCAACUGACAGUAUUGAUGUGUUUUUAGAAUCCUUAGUUGAUGAUUUGAGAAGGUUGUGGGUUGGUGAAGUGACAUACGAUAUUGCAAAGAAGGAGAAUUUCACAUUGAGGGCAGCUUUAAUGUGGACUAUUAACGACUUUCCUGCAUAUGGCAUGUUGUCUGGAUGGUCGACUCAUGGUAGAUUAGCUUGUCCUCAUUGCAUGAAAGAUACAAAGGCAUUUUACUUGAUAAAUGGACGAAAGAAUUCGUGGUUUGACUGUCAUCGUUGCUUCACACCAGACGAUCAUGAAUUCCGGAGGAAGAGGAAUCAGUUUAGGAAAGACACGAUUGAAAAAGAUGGUCCACCUCCUAAGAUAACAUCAAAUGAAAUAUUCCGUAGAUUCAGCGCUCUAUGGAGAUUUCCAGAUGUUGGCCAAAGAGUCAGAUACGAAGGAUACGGUGUAGAACACAAUUGGACCAAAAGAAGUAUUUUUUUGGAUCUCCCUUCUGGAAAGACAAUUUACUAAGACAUAAUCUGGAUGUUAUGCACAUUGAAAAGAAUUUUUGUGACAAUAUAGUUAACACAGUGAUGAAUGUCUCUAGUAAAACAAAAGAUAACGAGAAGGCUAGAAUGGAUUUGCCAGAGUAUUGUAAGAGACCAGAUAUGGAGUCAAAACUUCUUCCAAAUGGAAAAUAUCUGAAACCCAAGGCUGUUUAUAGUUUAACCAGUGCUGAAGCGAAAUCUGUUUGUCAGUGGUUAAAAGAAUUGAGGAUGCCAGAUGGAUAUUCUUCUAACUUGUCAAGGUGUGCCGACGUUGAAAAUGGAAGAUUGCGCGGGAUGAAAAGUCAUGAUGAUCAUGUUUUCUUGGAGCGCUUCUCUACCACAAAAAAGAGCUUUAAUAUCGCCCAUUUAAUAGCACUUACAUAAAAAGUGCUAUCAAAGCACUAGAACAGAGCCCCUAGAAUAGCACUUUGAGGAAAAAUGCUAUUAAUGCAAUUAAUGCGGAACAUUAUGUUAGCACUUUUAUGGAAAACGGUAUUAAUGCCAUUAACGCUGAACAUUAUGUUAGCACUUUUAUCGAAAACGCUAUUAAUGCCAAUAGCCAAAAAUAGCGACUCUGAUGUACCAAGUGCUAUAAUAAAAAGAUUAAUUGAAUAAAAUCUAUCAUAUCUUGGUGUCGAACCUGUGACCCCCUAGUUUGCUAAUUAGUAAUAAAGAAAUAAUAUAAAUGAACGUAAAAAAAAUGAGAUCAAAAUUAAAAUUAGAAAAAAAACACAGUCAAUCCAUCUCUACCUCAUUCUUCAUCGUGUUCCACUCCUCUUUCUCUACAUAUCGUCGAUAUCAAACCUCCCAUCCCUCCCAUGGAUUUCAUCCAUAAUUCUGCGUCGAACCUUGGGUCUUCGUUCCUACCCAUCCAUCGCCUUCUUUUUCACAACCACCGCCUUCACCCCUUUCUUUCUCUUUGAUCCUUCUUUCUCCAAAACCCCUUUUUUCUUUCUGCUAGGGUUAGGAAUUUUACUCCUUCCUGCUCCACGUAUCUUAAUUUCAAUAAAAUAUUCCAAAUCUCUAGUUGAAGAAUCUUCUUCUCGAUGACCUCAUUCUUCAUUACGGAUCUCUAUCUACGGGUAUCCACAAGAAGAGAAAAUGCAAAAUUCAAUUAAGGUAUUGUUGGCUCUUGAGAGGAUUGAACAAGAUUUUGAGCUAACACACGAUGUAUUUCAACAUGCUCAUUGGGGUGGAACAAUUGGGAAAAAGCUUAUGUCUGAAGUUGAUAAAGAAAUUAUUGAUCUUUAAAGGUGUCAUUUGAUAUUUGUUAAGAACACUCCAAGUGUAAAAAAUCAUAUACAGGAUUGAUUUAUACUGUUUUGAGGUUUUUAUUCAAUUUUCGGAUAAUAAUUGAUUGAUCAUUUAUUAUAAUUUUGUGGUACAGUUUGGUUGA